rnacentral:rRNA from 1 species
AGCAGCCGCGGUAAUUCCAGCUCCAAUAGCGUAUAUUAAAGUUGUUGCAGUUAAAAAGCUCGUAGUUGAAUUUCGGGAUUAGUACGUUGGUCGUGCCUUUGGUACGUACUGGUGUUACUGAUUCCUACCUUCUGACGAACCAUCAUGUCAUUUAUUUGGUGUGGCGGGGAAUCAGGACUGUUACUUUGAAAAAUUAGAGUGUUUAAAGCAGGCUCGCGCUUGAAUACAUUAGCAUGGAAUAAUGAAAUAGGACGUUGACCCUAUUUUGUUGGUUUCUAGGAUUGACGUAAUGAUUAAUAGGGAUAGUUGGGGGCAUUAGUAUUCAAUUGUCAGAGGUGAAAUUCUUGGAUUUAUUGAAGACUAACUACUGCGAAAGCAUUUUGCCAAGGAUGUUUUCAUUAAUCAAGAACGAAAGUUAGGGGAUCGAAGACGAUCAGAUACCGUCGUAGU